rnacentral:rRNA from 1 species
GAUGAACGCUAGCGGCAGGCUUAAUACAUGCAAGUCGAGGGGCAGCAGUUUUGUAGCAAUACAGAAGCUGGCGACCGGCAAACGGGUGCGGAACACGUACGCAACCUUCCUUUAACUGGAAGAUAGCCCACCGAAAGGUGGAUUAAUACUCCAUAACAUAUUGAAGAGGCAUCUCUUUGAUAUUAAAGCUCCGGCGGUUAAAGAUGGGCGUGCGUCUGAUUAGGUAGUUGGCGGGGUAACGGCCCACCAAGCCUUCGAUCAGUAGCUGAUGUGAGAGCAUGAUCAGCCACACGGGCACUGGGACGCGGGCCCGACUCCUACGGGAGGCAGCAGUAAGGAAUAUUGGUCAAUGGACGCAAGUCUGAACCAGCCAUGCCGCGUGGAGGAUGAAGGCCCUCUGGGUUGUAAACUUCUUUUAUAGGGGGCGAAAAAAGGGAAUUCUUUCUCGUCUGACGGUACCCUAUGAAUAAGCACCGGCUAACUCCGUGCCAGCCGCCGCCGUAAAAC